CACAAACUGACUUUUUUCUCAAUUCUCCGAUAUGGGGCUACAUGUCAUAAUAUCUUGGACGAUUUUGCCCUUUAGUCUUUUUUGCCAGGUUAACUGAACGAUCGAUCAAAACAGGGAAACCAGACGGAGCUAGGAAGACAGGCUGCCGCCUCGCCGGCUUCCGCCCACAUGCGCUGCCAGUUCCAUCGCUGCUGCCUUGCCGUGCCUCUGGACCGACGUACUGCCCUGAUCUCCCGGCGCUUCGUCCCGCUUCUUCUCGUCUCCCGUCGCUCCACCCGUUCUGCCGCUGCUGCCUCAUCUGGCGUGAGUCACAGUGCGCUAUAUUCUUCAAGCAGCACUACUUCCCUACUAAAGCUAGCAACUAUAGCAGCGAAGCAGCCACGACCAAGUACAACAACGACCAGCUACAGCUAACUACAGCAACGAGUAGCUACUGGCUCCAGCCAGUAAACACACGCUACGGCCACGGAGCGAACUGGACUGUCACGCGCUGCAGGGGGGCUUGAACUGGCGGCGCCCUUCUUCUCCGGCAUGGCGAGGAAGCAGUCGAAGCACGGAGUACGGCGGCGCCCUUCUUCUUCGGCACGGCGUGGGAGUGGCCGGAGCGGCACGGCGUAGAAACGGGCGAUGCGCAGUGAGAGGUGAUGGCACGGGGUAGGAGGCCCGGCAAGGUCACGGCGCUCGGGGUUUCGUUCCUCUGUUUCUGUUUCUAUGUUCUCUCGUCUUCUGGAUUGUCUCGUCUCCUCUGUUUCGAUCGAACCAGUUGACCUGGCAGAAAAGACCAAAGGGUAAAAUUGUCCAAAGUAUUAUGACGUGUAGGCCCAUACCUAAAAAGUGAGAAAAAAAGUCAGUUUGUAUCAUUUUAUCCAUGCAGGAAAAGUGUGCCAUCUAAUCAAACAAAAAGAAAGAUGUGCUAUUUUA